rnacentral:tRNA from 1 species
GCGAGCGUAGUUCAAUGGUAAAACAUCUCCUUGCCAAGGAGAAGAUACGGGUUCGAUUGUCGCCGCUCGCC